rnacentral:rRNA from 1 species
UACGUAGGGACCAAGCGUUGUUCGGAUUUACUGGGCGUAAAGGGCGCGUAGGCGGCGUGUCAAGUCAAUUGUGAAAUCUCCGAGCUUAACUCGGAACGGUCAAUUGAUACUGAUGUGCUAGAGUGCAGAAGGGGCAAUCGGAAUUCUUGGUGUAGCGGUGAAAUGCGUAGAUAUCAAGAGGAACACCUGAGGUGAAGACGGGUUGCUGGGCUGACACUGACGCUGAGGCGCGAAGCUAGGGUAGCAAACGGG